AUAAGACAAUAUCAGACCAAUCAGCGAGGGGCAUGCUGGAGGCGUCACCGCAUCAGCUGGCCGCCUCACACCUGUCACCCGCGUGUGUUUACAGUGAGGCAGGGUUUACACGGGGAUGCUUUAGACUAAUCUCCACUGUAUCGAUAGGCUAGAUUAUCUAGCGUGUGUGUGUCUGUUUUUGGUUUAUUUUAUUCAGGUUAUGAUGGAAUAGGAUCAAUUAUAUCAAAUUACCUUACACUCACAUGACAAACUACCAACAUUUUUGAUUGACUUUUUACUUCUCAAACUCCCAAUAUUUUUUCGGUUCACCCCUCCAUAUUCCAUUUCGUCCAUAUGACCAAGAAAACGGCAUUUCUCUCACAGGAAAGGAGAACACAUACAUGAUCAACGAGUGUUUGCUCCACCAGCCAGUCAGCAUUGCCCUUCCACCUCGGCUAGUCGGCAGGAAUGAGGUCAGCAGCAGUUCUAUGGCGCUUGACCUGUCCCUGCUGCAGCUCCUCGAAGUGUCUCUUUUUCACUGGCCGCCGGUUGGUGAAUCACAGGUCAACGCACGACUCGCUCUGUGACCUGUGUCAGUGUGGAUGGCCUGGAGAAGAGAUGGUUUACAGUGGCGAGGUUAGGGGGCAGUGUGUCACUAUUGUUGUCUCGUCGAGCGAGUGACAGCGGCGAGAGAUGAGAGCGGACGCCAAACUGCCGAGGAUGACCUUGGGAACUGCCGAUACCAAGGCCUGCCUCAGGAGAAGUCCUGAGACACCUACAGCAUCAAGAAGAUCAAGAUGUGCUGUCAGCCAGGCAGGCAGCAACCAUUGAACCAGCUCCUUUAAAGAUGAUGUGUGUAUCCUUGCCCCAUCAUGUUUUCCGCCUUUCUCACUAUCUCAGCUGUCAUGCCGCCCCCUGACUGAACACACAGGAAGUGCUGCACUGGUAGCGUGGCGUCGAGGGAAGCGCCUCUUUGUAUCCCUGCCCAAUACUUUAUUGAACAUAUGAAGAUGCUCCAGAGUUUCAAGAAGGGAAUGACACACACACUUUGCUGUACUCCAAGCUUUUGGAAGUCCAGCGGCACACUGCACACUGCUUUCAAAAACGUGUGUGCAGAGUGCAAGACAAAGAGGGGCAAGGAUGGAGAAUGCUUCAAUAUUCACAGCAUCAUUGGUUCAUGCUUUCUUUUUUGUGGAAAGUAGUGCACACAGUUUUAACCGAAGGAUUAUGUCAUCAUUCAUAUUCAUAGAUUUCAUGACUUAACAUUGUGUUGACCUUUGUGUAACAAGUCACUUCAUUACAUGUAAGCAUAUAUUUAGCUACAAGGAGUAACGUUUUAUGAAAUUUGUAAUGUAUAAAACUGACUUGUAAGAGAUCUUGCAUUAUGAAGACUUGUUUAGAGGUCUUUGUUUAUUAGCAUGAUCUAGUUGUGUCAGUCUUAACAGUCCAGAUUGUACAGACAUGAACCAUUGUCCAUUGCACUUCUUUGAGAUGGAAUUUCAGUUAACGCUGCAAGAUGUGUGUGUGUGUAUUUACCUAGUUGUAGUUUUACAGGGCCUGGGUUUUACGCUCGUGUGGCCUCGUCUCCAUAUCUACACUUAUCCAAUUUUUCUUUAAUAAAACUAUGCACACUCAUU